AUUGAACGCUGGCGGCAGGCCUAACACAUGCAAGUCGAACGAGUGGCGGACGGGUGAGUAAUGUCUGGGAAACUGCCUGAUGGAGGGGGAUAACUAAUGGAAACGGUAGCUAAUACCGCAUACCAAUAGAUGUGCCCAGAUGGGGUUAGCUAGUAGGUGGGGUAACGGCUCACCUAGGCGACGAUCCCUAGCUGGUCUGAGAGGAUGACCAGCCACACUGGAACUGAGACACGGUCCAGACUCCUACGGGAUGCAGCAGUGGGGAAUAUUGCACAAUGGGCGCAAGCCUGAUGCAGCCAUGCCGCGUGUAUGAAGAAGGCCUUCGGGUUGUAAAGUACUUUCAGCGGGGAGGCGUUACCCGCAGAAGAAGCACCGGCUAACUCCGUGCCAGCAGCCGCGGUAAUAC
rnacentral:rRNA from 1 species